UGGUGAUCUGUCUGUGAGGCCUCGUGUUUAUCAUUUCUCAGAAGCCAGCUAGUAGACCAGGCCACCUGCCAGUAUAUGGUUAGCACAUUUAUGUCAAUCGGUUUGUCAGCCAGGUACCAUGGUUUUUCCCAAGUCACAGCUUCCAAACUCUGGGAACAUAAAACCACAAUGCUAGCCAAGAUAACAAUGAGACCUUUCUCAUAUACAACACUAGUGGCUCUCUGAAAAGAUGCUCAAAAGGGCCUUUUGUAGAUGCUCAAGCUGCAAGACAAAGAAAAGAGACACUCUGGACCGGAGAAGGAACACCCCGUCUAGACUUCUUCCUGAGCCAGUUAGGACUCACCUGGGCCAAGUCCCCUUAACUGGUCUGACCUCUGUCAGAUGGAUCCUAAUCUGUCAAAUUGGCAUCACAACCAGGAAGCAUGUGGCGACCUCUUAG
rnacentral:lncRNA from 1 species